rnacentral:lncRNA from 1 species
GAUUUGUAUCCCUAUAAGAAAAGAGGUCAUUGGUAACUCUUAAAAAUUGUUAUUAUCACCUGGGCAGCUAGAAGAAUUACACUUAGAGGGAACAGUAACAAACUGUAUAGGAUGAAAUGAUAAGACAUAAAUAGCCUGAGAGAUCCCAAAGGGCUUCCUGCACCUCCUUUGUGUGGCCUCACUGACUUAAUCCAGAAAUUGCACUCUCUUCUUUCCAUGAGGAGCUUCUUGCCAGCAGCAGUACAGAGAUAUUUACUCCAAAGGUAAAACAGAGACUAGGACAAAACCAGGAGGACAACCACCUUGAAGUUAAACGACAAAGGUGGUGUGAGAGCAAACAGGUGAAAGAACUAGCCCACUUUCCCUCAUAC